rfam:Triticum aestivum genome assembly, contig: Triticum_aestivum_CS42_TGACv1_scaffold_194324_3AL
UUUGAACUCCCUCCAUCCCAAAAUUCUUGUCUUAAAUUUGUCUAAAUACAAAUGUAUCUAGUUACAUUUUAGUGUUAGAUACAUCCGUAUCUAAACAAAUGUAAGACAAGAAUUUUGGGACGGAGGGAAUACUAC